GAUGAACGCUGGCGGCGUGCCUAAUACAUGCAAGUCGAGCGAACAGAUGAGGAGCUUGCUCCUCUGACGUUAGCGGCGGACGGGUGAGUAACACGUGGAUAACCUACCUAUAAGACUGGGAUAACUUCGGGAAACCGGAGCUAAUACCGGAUAAUAUAUUGAACCGCAUGGUUCAAUAGUGAAAGACGGUUUUGCUGUCACUUAUAGAUGGAUCCGCGCCGCAUUAGCUAGUUGGUAAGGUAACGGCUUACCAAGGCAACGAUGCGUAGCCGACCUGAGAGGGUGAUCGGCCACACGGGAACUGAGACACGGUCCAGACUCCUACGGGAGGCAGCAGUAGGGAAUCUUCCGCAAUGGGCGAAAGCCUGACGGAGCAACGCCGCGUGAGUGAUGAAGGUCUUCGGAUCGAAAAACUCUGUUAUUAGGGAAGAACAAAUGUGUAAGUAACUAUGCACGUCUUGACGGUACCUAAUCAGAAAGCCACGGCUAACUACGG
rnacentral:rRNA from 1 species